rnacentral:rRNA from 1 species
CGCGUAGAUAAUCUGUCCUUGUGUCUGGAAUAAUACACCGAAAGGGGUACUAAUACCGGAUAUUCUUGCUUUUCAUAAGUUUGGCAAGCAAAGGUGGCCUCUGACAUAAGCUACUGCAUGAGGAGGAGUCUGCGUACCAUUAGCUAGUAGGUGGGGUAAAGGCCUACCUAGGCUUCGAUGGUUAACGGGUCUGAGAGGAUGAUCCGUCACACUGGCACUGGAACACGGGCCAGACUCCUACGGGAGGCAGCAGUGAGGAAUAUUGCGCAAUGGGGGCAACCCUGACGCAGCGACGCCGCGUGAGUGAGGAAGGCCUUCGGGUCGUAAAGCUCUGUCAAAGGGGAAGAAGUGUAUGGCGGUUAAUACCCGUUAUAUUUGACGGUACCCUUAAAGGAAGCACCGGCUAACUCCGUGCCAGCAGCCGCGGUAAUACGGAGGGUGCAAGCGUUGUUCGGAAUUACUGGGCGUAAAGGGCGCGUAGGCGGUUUGGUAAGUCAGAUGUGAAAGCCCACGGCUUAACCGUGGAAGUGCAUUUGAUACUGCCUGACUUGAGUACCAGAGGGGAAAGUGGAAUUCCCGGUGUAGAGGUGAAAUUCGUAGAUAUCGGGAGGAAUACCGGUGGCGAAGGCGACUUUCUGGCUGAG